AUGGUCCGGUGAAGUGUUCGGAUCGCGGCGACGUGGGCGGUCCGCUGCCGGCGACGUCGCGAGAAGUCCACUGAACCUUAUCAUUUAGAGGAAGGAGAAGUCGUAACAAGGUUUCCGUAGGUGAACCUGCGGAAGGAUCAUUGUCGAUGCCGCACGAAAAGAGCGACCCGCGGACACGUUGGAACAGGACCGCCAGCGGGGGAGGGCGAGGGCGCGCCCGAGGCCUCUUCCCGACAACCGAACCCCGGCGCCCCAGGCGCCAAGGAACCGAAACAAAGAGCGGGGCACGCUCGCUGGCUGGCGGCCCGGGAACGGAGCCGACCGCCCAGCGCUGCGUCCCGUGCCGUCUGCGCAUCCGAAACGACUCUCGGCAACGGAUAUCUCGGCUCUCGCAUCGAUGAAGAACGUAGCGAAAUGCGAUACUUGGUGUGAAUUGCAGAAUCCCGUGAACCAUCGAGUCUUUGAACGCAAGUUGCGCCCGAGGCCUCGGCCGAGGGCACGUCUGCCUGGGUGUCACGCAACGUCGCCAGCGCCCAUCCUUCCGGGCGCGGCGGAUGAUGGCCUCCCGGGAGCCUCGCCUCCCGGCUGGCCGAAAAAGGGGCCCAGCGUGACGGCCGCGCCACGAUCCACGGUGGUUGAGCGAGCGGUCGCUCGAGGCCAAGACGUGCGCGCGCCGUCCCACGUCAGGGGACCGCCGGCUAGGGCGUGGGCAGCAGUGCCCGCCCUCUCGUACGCGACCCCAGGUCAGGCGGGGCUACCCGCUGAGUUUAAGCAUAUCAAUAAGCGGAGGAAAAGAAACUAACGGAGGAUUCCCCCUAGUAACGGGCGAGCGAAC
rnacentral:rRNA from 1 species